rnacentral:rRNA from 1 species
UGGGGAAUAUUGGACAAUGGGCGAAAGCCUGAUCCAGCCAUGCCGCGUGUGUGAAGAAGGCCUUUUGGUUGUAAAGCACUUUAAGUGGGGAGGAAAAGCUUAUGGUUAAUACCCAUAAGCCCUGACGUUACCCACAGAAUAAGCACCGGCUAACUCUGUGCCAGCAGCCGCGGUAAUACAGAGGGUGCAAGCGUUAAUCGGAAUUACUGGGCGUAAAGCGCGCGUAGGUGGUUAUUUAAGUCAGAUGUGAAAGCCCCGGGCUUAACCUGGGAACUGCAUCUGAUACUGGAUAACUAGAGUAGGUGAGAGGGGAGUAGAAUUCCAGGUGUAGCGGUGAAAUGCGUAGAGAUCUGGAGGAAUACCGAUGGCGAAGGCAGCUCCCUGGCAUCAUACUGACACUGAGGUGCGAAAGCGUGGGUAGCAAACAGGAUUAGAUACCCUGGUAGUCCACGCCGUAAACGAUGUCUACCAGUCGUUGGGUCUUUUAAAGACUUAGUGACGCAGUUAACGCAAUAAGCAGACCGCCUGGGGAGUACGGCCGCAAGGUUA